CCUACGGGGGGCAGCAGUGGGGGAUAUUGCACAAUGGGGGGAACCCUGAUGCAGCGACGCCGCGUGGGUGAAGGAGUGCUUCGGUAUGUAAAGCCCUAUCGGCAGGGAAGAAGCAAGACGGUACCUGACUAAGAAGCCCCGGCUAACUACGUGCCAGCAGCCGCGGUAAUACGUAGGGGGCGAGCGUUAUCCGGAUUCACUGGGUGUAAGGGGAGCGUAGACGGCCAUGCAAGCCAGGGGUGAAAGCCCGGGGCCCAACCCCGGGACUGCCCUUGGAACUGCAUGGCUGGAGUGCGGGAGGGGCAGGCGGAAUUCCUGGUGUAGCGGUGAAAUGCGUAGAUAUCAGGAGGAACACCGGCGGCGAAGGCGGCCUGCUGGACCGCGACUGACGUUGAGGCUCGAAAGCGUGGGGAGCGAACAGGAUUAGAUACCCGAGUAGUC
rnacentral:rRNA from 1 species